GAUACUAGGGUCAGAAGGUCAUAUUUUUCAUGCUUGCAUGAAAAAUAUGACUUUAGGACCCGCAAAACAUGAGAAAGCAGCCCGAAAAGGGCGGUUUUUGAAUGUUUUUAGGAUUACGGGAGCACGAAGUGCGGAGCAAUCCGUAGGUAUC
rnacentral:sRNA from 1 species